CUUGGACCAAGGCAAGGACUGCAGAAUCACCUUAAGAAGGACAAUAAGCCUUGCUCCAGCCACAUCCCGGAAGCUGGCUGGUCCACGCACGGCCGAAGCAUGAGGAGCUUCAUCGUGGGACUUGUUCUUCUUAAUAUUUGGACUUGUACAGUAGGAACAUUAACUAAUUUUAAAGAAUGCCCUCAGUAUGUACACCAGGUAGGACGUAAAAGUUACUGCCAUUCUUUUGUCCUGCGGUUCUUAUAAAUGUACAGGGACACAGAAGGGAACCUGUUUAUAUAAUGGUACUCAAUAUAAGGUACGUAAUCCAUGAGAUGGACAGGUGGGCUGUUAAUGUAUUCAGUCUACUCUGCUAGGGAG